CAUCAUGUGAUUUUGAUUUGCUCAAAUGUUUUGAUUUGAUUUUCUACCAAAUUUUCAACCAAUUUGCUCAUCCUAAGAUCUUAGUUUGCCUUUUCAAAUCAACCUUAUUUGCUUUUUAGAACAUGUUUAUUUUUUUUCUCAAUUUCCUGAUUUUGGUCCUAAAAAUUCCACCCAUUUGCUCUUGGAUUGUGAAUUUUCAAAGUUUAAGGGAUCUCUCGUCUAGCAUGCAUAGCAGCCUGGGCGCCCGAUGAGCAUGGCAAUCGGUGGCAUAUUUUUCUUUUUGCCAAUGAAGCGGCUCUUGGUGAGAAGCGGCUGCUUGACCCCGAAUGACCCUGUCUGUAAGGCAUCACUGUUCAUGGUCUGCCGAUUUAAUUCACAUUAUUGGAAUUAGCUCUGCUGGUCCUUGUGCUCGCCAAGUUGGUAGAGGUGGCGGUGCGGCCAAUGGCAGAUCAGAACAAAAGUACCGAGUGUCCUACUUGUUAGCCUCAACGUGGAUCCACCCCUGGUGCGGGUCAACAUGGAUGAUAACGGCAAAGAUUCAGACAUACUAGAAGACAUGCUGGCUUCCCACUGGGAGACGGAGUGAGUGGCGCUUGAGGGAAGUCCACGCACGGCGAGGAACAGCGAGGAACUCGCAGUUUAUUUCCUCGGUAUACAUGUACUGAUUUUAUUCAACAUAUACUAAUUUGCUUACCAAUCUGUAUUGAUUUGCUUAAUUUGCUCUGCAACUAAUACUAAUGAGUUUGCUCUCCAUCAAAGUAAUUAUUCUCUGAAUUCAAACUGAUUUUGUUCUA